CACGAAACGUUUGUUCGCCACCACAGGCCACAGCAACCUAAGUUAGGUACAUUAUAUUUAUUGUAUAUUUUUGAUAAAAACAAUAAAUAUUAGUGUAUAUUUAUCAUCAAUUAUAAAAAUACAAAAAAUAUAAUACAUUUAGUUAGGUUGCUGUGGUGGCGAACAAACGUUUCGUG